rnacentral:rRNA from 1 species
CAGCAGCCGCGGGAAUACGUAGGGUGCAAGCGUUAAUCGGAAUUACUGGGCGUAAAGCGUGCGCAGGCGGUUAUAUAAGACAGAUGUGAAAUCCCCGGGCUCAACCUGGGAACUGCAUUUGUGACUGUAUAGCUAGAGUACGGCAGAGGGGGAUGGAAUUCCGCGUGUAGCAGUGAAAUGCGUAGAUAUGCGGAGGAACACCGAUGGCGAAGGCAAUCCCCUGGGCCUGUACUGACGCUCAUGCACGAAAGCGUGGGGAGCAAACAGGAUUAGAUACCCUGUAGUCCCUGUCUCUUAUACC